AACGUAGGACGCAAGCGUUAUCCGGAGUUACUGGGCGUAAAGCGCGGGCAGGCGGCCUCGCAAGUCUGAUGUGAAAGCACUCUGCUCAACAGAGUGAUGCCAUUGGAAACUACAAGGCUGGAGUCUGGCAGAGGUAGGCGGAAUUCCGGGUGGAGUGGUGAGAUGCGUAGAGAUCCGGAGGAACACCAGAGGCGAAGGCGGCCUACUGGGCCAGUACUGACGCUGAGCCGCGAAAGCCAGGGGAGCGAACGGG
rnacentral:rRNA from 1 species